AUUUCUCAACCUGUCUAGCUUUUAUAAAGAUAGACAGGCUUGGAUUUGGAGGUUGCUGGCUUCUCAGAAACCGGCUCUUCUUAAAUAUAUUAGCAGAACCAUUGCUGAUUAUUCUUGGUAUGAUAAUUAUCUAUACCACGGAGAAUCGGUUUCCUUCAUUGGACGGUUUCGCUUCUAACAGUCUUUUCAGACAAUUCUUGACAA
rnacentral:misc_RNA from 1 species